rnacentral:lncRNA from 1 species
CCAAUAAAUAAAUAUAAUAAAAAAUAAGUAGAUAUAAAGAAAAGAUUUGGAUUUGAUUCUUCACAAAAUGAGUCUAACAAAAAUAUUUAAGAACUUUCUUCAGCAAAGAUUGAUUGGAGAUCUGAAAGAUCAUAAAGAGAAAUUUUAAUAAUUGAAAAAAGGCAAGCUGAGAUUAGGAAAUAAAUUAAAAAUUUUUUUGGAAUUUAUUAUUUGCUCAGUUAUUAAAUCAAAUCAAAUGUGAGAGUUAAAAAACAAUAUGAUACACCAUAGUAAACAGAGACCAGGUUCGGGAAACAAAAGAAAAACACAAAAAACAAGCUUCAAAGCCGAACCAAGGGCUUUUUUAUUUAAGGUGCUUUCGGGUUUGGACCCAUCAUCAGUGAAUGCACACUGGAGGCGCGACGGGACGGAGAGGGUUCCCGGAUGCACUGGUCACCUUGGGCUCCGCCUAUACAACAAUAAAUUGCAUAGGCCUUUUUCCCGACUGCCAGAAGGAGUAGACGGGCCCGGCACACGUGCACGGCUGGGGGCUGGUGGCUUGCAGGCCGGGUGGGCGUGAAAUGAGUGGAAC